rnacentral:lncRNA from 1 species
GCAUGACAUGUUUGUUUCCAUUACAAUCCACCAAAUAACUUGGUACAAAACAAAAACCAACCAAGUCAUCAACAUUGGCGCAUAACCACCAACUCAAAAUGGACUAUCCCAACAACAUUCUGACAAUCAUUAAAGUUCUAAAGUUUUGGUGCAAAGCAAAAUGACAAUCACUUAAUAAGUACAGAGAAUGUCUACUUAAUUAGUUCUUAAAUUCAUCCAGAAAUCUGAAACAAAAGUACUGCAUA